rnacentral:rRNA from 1 species
GUAGGGAAUCUUCGGCAAUGGACGAAAGUCUGACCGAGCAACGCCGCGUGAGUGAAGAAGGUUUUCGAAUCGUAAAACUCUGUUGGUAGAGAAGAACGUUGGUGAGAGUGGAAAGCUCAUCAAGUGACGGUAACUACCCAGAAAGGGACGGCUAACUACGUGCCAG